ACACACACACACACACACACACACACACACACACACACACACACACACACACACACACACACACACACACACACACACACACAGACACAAUUUAAUGCUUAAUUUUUGCCUUCUGAUUAAUAAAUGUAAUUGUUUAUUGUUAUGAUUUUGGUCAUAUAAUAUAGAGCUGUAGAGUGAUCAUCAGUUUAUCGAUGAAGAAGAAGAGGAAGAAGAAGAGGAAGAAGAAGAGGAAGAAGAAGAGGUUUAUAUCAUAAAAACUAACAUGGAACACUUCUCAGACCCAGGCAUUUCCUCCUCUCUUUCUUCCUCCUCCCCCUCCUCCCCCUCCACCGCCCUCCUCAUCAUUAUCAUCGUUUUUUCUUCCCUACGCUCCACAGAUCGUGUGUCAGAGUUCACCAUCACUUCCUCCUUCAGACGUCUCUCUCGCUUCCUUACUGUUCAUGUAAAGACUCGUCCAAAUCCCAGCACUAAUUAAGCCUCUGAGCAGGAAUGAGUGAUCACACGCAGGUUAUUAGCAUUCAGCAUGUGGAGAACUUUAGAACUUUAAAAUAAUGUUAUAGCUGCGUUCACUCGGCACGUCGCAGUGGAGCUUCAGCAGUUGUGGUUCUGCCUCCUGGCCUCUUUUCUGCUCUCCUCACUUCCUGUCUGAGGUUGGAGGUGUUUAAGCUUCGUUGAGUUCGAUCUUGGCCUCCACCUUAUCGUCCUGGGGCACAUUUUCCCUGAGGAACAUCCUUCAGAGCAGCUUGGCACGCUCUCCUGAGACGAGGAAAAGAAACAGAGGAGCUGUGAGUGUUGAUCUUCUCCACGUUUAAGCUGAAUAACCCUCCUGACUCCCGUCGGCUCCUGAACUCACUGCUACGUGCACGUUAUGCUUCAUCAGUACAUUAUUAACACAAAGAAAAACAUGAAACUCGUCAUUGUGCAGUGAAGGCGAUACGGAGUCAGUGAGAUGACACACACCAGCUACAGGCGGAGAGCAUCCAUCAUCCUGUGAUUGCCAGAUGUUCAGAUUUCAUUCAGCAUGUAGCUGCAGGAGAGAACGUUCUCCAACACAAACAUCUGCUUUCAGCAGCUCAGAGACGCUUCAUCACCGGGGGACGAGGAGGAACAUGGACACUGACGAUACGAAUGAAACAAAUCCACUCUGGGACUUCAGGAACCUAGAUUUAGGAGUGUCCAAUGUGGGCGGAGUUAAGCACAACCACCAAUCACACGGCUUCUGAGAUCUCUGAGUGUGAAGCUUAGUCCAGCGUUUCCUAAUUGUCUGUGUGAACAUUGUUGUGUUUAUUCUGGAGCUCAUUAGCUGCACUUUACGGCCCUUAAGCUGCUCUAAAUCGCACCAUAAACCCUAUAAAUGUACGUCUCGUGUCACCGAAUAUAAAAACUAUGAGAAUUUAUAGUUUUAAUAACUCGCUGCUUUGUGUGGGGUUUAGUUAAAAGACCAAAAGGAAUAAAUAUAAUCAGAAUCAGACGUUUCAUCAGAGUCAGUAUUCUAAUCUUACACUUUAUGAUUCAUCAUAUCCUGUUUAUUACAUAUUCAGCUCAUUUAUUUCACUGUGAAGACAAACACAAUAAUAUAUUAGUGAUAAUAUACAAUUCUAAUAGUUCAUUAUUUAUAAACACAAAGUCAUUUAUUGGGAAAUCAUGGAAUAUUUAAUCUUUUUAAAGGACGAUGACACAAAUCAUAGCGACACACACACACACACACACACAAGGUAAUGUGGGAUUCUGAAAUGGGUGGGGCUAUUUUAGUUCUUUUUGGUUCUGUGUGUGUGUGUGUGUGUGUGUGUGUGUGUGUGUGUGUGUGUGUUAUUGUACACCAUGCUGAUUUACUUCCUGUUUUGCUGUUGCUGGCUCCGCCCCCUGAUUGUCAGUCUCACCUGUGAGUUAUUUUGUCAUUUCACUUUGUUCAUCUAAUAAACUGAUAACUGUGA